rnacentral:miRNA from 1 species
UGAGAUUCUUACAUCUUCAUUU